rnacentral:misc_RNA from 1 species
AUCUCUCAGCUCCCCUCCAGUUUUGUCUGGUAGGAUGGGUUGGAUCAUGGGGGGGAAAACUUUGUCGGCUCCAUUGCGAAUCGACUCCCCUGAAAAGCAUUAGUAGUCCGUGCUGUCUGCCGCCGGUGUGAUAAUAAUCUUUAUGCCGCCUGGUCCAGCAUACACGUUGUCUGCUCCAAACAGUCCGAGCACAAUCUCGGACAUCACAAUUUUAUUUUGACC